AAUGAGGAAGGGGGUGAAAGCUUAUAGUCAUUUGAAGGAGAAGUAUCCUUAUCCCUGGCACUGGAAUCCAAUUCAUUGACUUCUUUAAAGCUAUCCACCUUUUCAAUUACAACAAGUCCAUCAUCUUGACCAUUAGACACAGAUAUUGAUUCCUGAUGUUCUGGUAUUGCUUUAGCACCAUUGCAAUGCUGCAACCAUCCAUCAUUGAUGAGCUUGAAAGCUUCAUCACGGGAUAGGAAUGACGCAAAGAAGUACUUUCUCCCUCCGCCAAAUAUU
rnacentral:misc_RNA from 1 species